UGGGGGAUAUUGCACAAUGGGCGAAAGCCUGAUGCAGCGACGCCGCGUGGGGUAUGAAGGCUUUCGGGUUGUAAACCUCUUUCGCUAUCGAACAAGGCCCGCUUAGGGUGGGUUGAGGGUAGGUGGAGAAGAAGCGCCGGCUAACUACGUGCCAGCAGCCGCGGUAAUACGUAGGGCGCGAGCGUUGUCCGGAAUUAUUGGGCGUAAAGGGCUUGUAGGCGGCUUGUUGCGCCUGCUGUGAAAACGCGGGGCUUAACUUCGCGCGUGCAGUGGGUACAGGCAGGCUUGAGUGUGGUAGGGGUGACUGGAAUUCCAGGUGUAGCGGUGGAAUGCGCAGAUAUCUGGAGGAACACCGAUGGCGAAGGCAGGUCACUGGGCCAUUACUGACGCUGAGGAGCGAAAGCAUGGGUAGCGAACAGG
rnacentral:rRNA from 1 species